CAGGGAGGAAUCUUUAGAAGAGGAGAGUUCAACCAACUUUUGAAAAUUCAACUUUUCAAAGGAUUCGCCCAAGGGUGCCAGCCGGGGGCAGCAGAGAACCACGCCUGUGCUUGGCCGCGGAGCCUUCGUUCGAAAUGGUCGAGCAUUUAGGGAAUGCCAGUUGUAUCCCGAGCGCUGCGCUGAGGGAUUGGGGAUCUAAGGUACUCUCGUGGUUUCUGUCCUAGAAUUUGCGAAAAGCACCCCGUCCAUACUGUGCAGCUGGUCCCUGAAGCCUGCAGAUUUGUCUGCUACCGCUCCCUCCCCGCUUCCCUCCCAGGGUCGCCUCUGGCCUCGGCCUUCCAGAGGAUGGAAGCCGGGCGCUGGGGUCACAUGGAGGUCGAAAUAGCGCGCAAGCCCCCGGCUUCUGCAUUUGCGGAACGACCCAAGGAUUUUGCGUUCUCUCCCCAAGGCCCUGGUUUCCCUUCUAUAAAAUGGGGCUUAGGGGAGAAUGCGCCGUCCAGAAUUAUUGUGUAGGUCAAAAUUAAUGAAAGUGGACUAAUAUGAAUUCGGGGGCAUCACUCCUAACUUGAGCUUCAAUAAGCACUUAUUAAGCACCUACUGUGUGCUAUUGCAUGCCCUGGGGACACAGGGGUACAACUAUCCCUCACCACGCCCCCAAGGGCUUCGCUCCUCCCCAAUCUCCUCUCCCCGACCCCACCAGGCAGUUUCCGGUCCCUCCACUCAGCUCCGCCUACUCUCCACCCCCUCUUUCCAGAGCCUACGGGAGCAAGGUGGAAGGGGGUUAUCUACAUAUUCAUGAGUUCAUCAACCAAUCCACGGCCUGAACUCCGGUCUUUAGCGCCUAGGCGAUUGUGAUGUCACGGUGACGCCUCUUGUAAUCCUUAAAGACGCAGUAACCUCUCCCGAAGAAGGAAGGUUGCAACCACAACUGCAGGAUUCGCUUCGGAGUUUGAAGUGUGCUCCCGGCCCAGGACCCAGGGGCUUGAGUGCGGAAGAGCAGUGGUCUAGCCCAUCACAGCCCACCUGGACCUGUCCCCUCGCCUCUGCGCUCGUCUCUGGACUCUCUCCGUCAAAACAAAAUCUGCAGAGACAUCACUGGAUCUGUGUACGGAUGGGGAAAUCGGGACUCGAAGAUAAACCCAGUGAAAUGAGAGAGACGAGUUGUGCACCCCUUAGGGAUGCUUUCCAGGGAGAAGUGUCAUUUGAGCAGGGCUUCAAAGGAAGGGGGUGCCGGUCAAGGAUCAGCAGAAGGCGUUGUUUCUAGUGACAGGAAGAGGACUGGCCGAGGUCCAGACUGGUGGCCCAAAGAAGCUAGUUGUGAAAGCUCACACUUGUGGUCUCACUCAGGAAGCUGAGGCAGGAGGAUCAUGAGUUCCAGUCCAGCCUGGGCUGGGGAUUUAGCUCAGUGGUUUCACCGCCUGGCUCACAACAGCAAGGUCCUGAGUUCAAUCCCCGGUACCUAAAAAAUAAAAAAUGAAUAGGGGUGGAGUUGUAGCUCAGUGUUUGAGCAGCCCUCAGUUCAAUCUCAACUAAUGCAAAAAAAAGGGGGAAGAAGAUUUUUAAAUUUAUUGUUCUUUAUUUAGCCCAUGUUGGGGCCGGGGAUUUAGCUGAGUGGUUCUGCUGCUUGCCUUGCAGGUGCAAGGUACCGAGUUCGAUCCCCAGUACCAAAAAAAAGAAGUAUUUAGCCCAUGUUUGCAGUACAAAACAACCACAUUCAUCCUGGGGAGUCGGCCCAUGGACGUAACGCAUCUUAACUCUUUUUUUGCUCCCUUCCCCUCCCUCUAUGUCUUGAUCCCUUUUCUUUUUUUUUUUUUUUUGGUACCAGGGAUCGAACUUGGGUCCUUGCGCUUGCGCAGCAGGCGGCGAAACCACUGAGCUAAAUCCCCAGGCCCUUGAUCCCUUUUCCUGUUGCAAAAGGUCUAUCUCCCUCUUUCCUAUAUCUACCUUUUAUUUUGCUCUUUCUUUAUGUUCCGAGUUUCCUAUAUAAAAGAAACCACAUGACAUUUGAGCUUGUGUGUCUGAUUAUUUCACUUAACAUUAUGGUUUCAAGGUGCAUCCAUUUUUCUACGGAUGACUCAAAUUUAUCCUUCUUUAUGGUAGAAAAAAUGUUUUAUGGUCUGGCUUUAUUUUUAGGUUUCUGAUCCUCCUGCUGGCUUUAUUUUAGGUUUCUGAUCCUCCUGGCAUCAAUUUUGGUCUCUGGUGUGAGGCAUGGGCUCAGAUUACUUUGGCUAUUGUUAUUGUAAAUGCAAAUCCAAUUUUCCU
rnacentral:lncRNA from 1 species